UACGGAGGGAGCUAGCGUUAUUCGGAAUUACUGGGCGUAAAGCGCACGUAGGCGGCUUUGUAAGUUAGAGGUGAAAGCCUGGAGCUCAACUCCAGAAUUGCCUUUAAGACUGCAUCGCUUGAAUCCAGGAGAGGUGAGUGGAAUUCCGAGUGUAGAGGUGAAAUUCGUAGAUAUUCGGAAGAACACCAGUGGCGAAGACGACUCACUGAACUGGUAUUGACGCUGAGGUGCGAAAGCGUGGGGAGCAAACAGG
rnacentral:rRNA from 1 species